rnacentral:tRNA from 1 species
AUUAAAAUAGCUCAAGAAGAGCAUUGCAUUGAAGCUGCAAAAGUAAUAUUAAUAUUUUUUGAUG